AUUGAACGCUGGCGGCAUGCCUUACACAUGCAAGUCGAACGGCAGCACGGGUGCUUGCACCUGGUGGCGAGUGGCGAACGGGUGAGUAAUACAUCGGAACGUACCUUAUCGUGGGGGAUAACGCAGCGAAAGCUGUGCUAAUACCGCAUAAGCCCUGAGGGGGAAAGCGGGGGAUCGAAAGACCUCGCGCGAUUAGAGCGGCCGAUGCCUGAUUAGCUUGUUGGUGGGGUAAAAGCCCACCAAGGCGACGAUCAGUAGCUGGUCUGAGAGGACGAUCAGCCACACUGGGACUGAGACAAGGCCCAGACUCAUACGGGAGGCAGCAGUGGGGAAUUUUGGACAAGGGGGGCAACCCUGAUCCAGCAAUGCCGCGUGAGGGAAGAAGGCCUUCGGGUUGUAAAGCUCUUUUGUCAGGGAAGAAACACCGGCUCUAACACAGUCCGGGAAUGACGGUACCUGAAGAAUAAGCACCGGCUAACUACGUGCCAGCCGCCGCGGUAA
rnacentral:rRNA from 1 species